UAAAAUCUCCUGCUGUUGUUGCACCCUCUUCACUUUAUCCUCUUGCUUUCUCCUUUCAAUCUAAUUUCAAAUUAAGAAGAAAAAGCAUGGCAAUUUAUGAAUUUAUAUAGAAGGGCAAUCAAAAAAAAUACCGAACAUAUAAAUCUGAGUUCACUAUUGAAACCCAUCAAUAAAAGCCAACAUGUCAAAUGAAAAGCCCAACAGUUUCAACAAAAACAAAAAAAAUGAAAAACAAAUCAAACAACACAAAAAGAGAAGGGAAAAAAGGAAUAAACCAAUCAAUAAAUCAAAAUAGAAUGCUCACCAGCCUUGAGAAGGCAACUGAGUUUGCUGCUUCUGCUGCUGAGCCGCCGCAGCUGAACGCUUCUUGGGUGGAGACGCCGGUGCCGCUGCGGCGAUUUUCUGUCAUCUAACAAAUGGAAAGUGUUUGCUGUCGCCAUUUUUGGAAAGCCGGCGCGACAUGAAGUGCGACGAAGCAGACCAGAGAGAGAACGGCGAAGCUAGGAUUGCAACGGGCAGACCAAAGAGAGAGUGAGAGGAAGCAGGCCAGAGAGAGAAAAGGAUCCCUGUGGUUUACCUUUUCUUUUCCUUCUUUUUUUUUAUUCCUAAAAUUUGUGAGGCUGACACCUGGAUGAAAGUUCCACAGUAAAUAUACAAGUAGCCAGUAGGAGAGGAGAUUAAGUUAAACACCAUCAUUUUUCACCCUAGAUCUCCACAGCCUCACCUUUUUCCUCUGCCUCCAACUGCUGCUUCUCCUCUCCAACCACUCCAAGGUUCCUGUGUCUCCGCCGGUGAGAUUCGCUAGAGAGAUGGAUCGUGUGUUUAUUCGCUAGGAAGGCCCAAAUGAAAUAAAUUAUAUCCCCGUUGGAUGAAAAACUCUAUGAUUGGGUUGGGUCUGGGAGACACUUCACUCACAAUCUUAUUUCUCAUUCAUCUUCUAUUCUCUUCACGUGUGUUUUGUUUCUCUAAUUCUCUCAAUCAAAUUUUAGUCUCAGGCGUCUUCUCCAAUAAUCCCAACGAACAAGUGUCAAGACUGGCCUCGCAGAUUAAUCAAUGGAUAGAAAAAGGCACAGAAUCAUGAUGGUCUCUGAUUUUUUCUAUCCCAACUUUGGUGGCGUCGAGAACCACAUCUAUUAUCUCUCUCAGUGCUUACUCAAGCUAGGCCACAAGGUAGUGGUUGUAACUCAUGCGUAUGGAAACCGAUCUGGGGUUAGAUACAUGACUGGCGGUUUGAAAGUUUACUAUGUUCCGUGGAGGCCUUUUGUUAUGCAGAACUCAUUCCCAACCCUAUUUCCUUCACUCCCCAUUAUUAGAGCCAUUCUCAUUCGAGAAAGAAUCACUAUUGUCCAUGGACAUCAAGCAUUUUCCACUCUAUGUCAUGAAGCUCUCAUGCAUUCUAGAACCAUGGGGUACAGGGUUGUAUUCACGGAUCAUUCUCUCUAUGGAUUUUCGGAUGCUGGAAGCAUACAUAUGAACAAGGUCUUGCAGUUCACAUUGGCUGAUGUGAGUCAGGCCAUAUGUGUUUCGCAUACGAGCAAGGAGAAUACAGUGUUACGGUCGGGGCUGCCCCCGGAGAAGGUUUUUGUUAUACCUAAUGCUGUGGACACUGCAAUGUUCAAGCCAGCGGUGGUGCAGCCGAGCCGCUCGGAGAUUGUUAUUGUUGUUAUUAGCCGGUUGGUUUAUCGCAAGGGAGCAGAUUUGCUUGUUGAAGUCAUUCCAGACAUAUGCCGUCUGCAUCCCAAUGUUCGUUUCAUUAUUGGAGGUGAUGGACCUAAGCGUGUGCGGUUGGAGGAGAUGAGAGAAAAACAUUCUCUUCAAGAUCGAGUUGAAAUGUUGGGAGCUGUGCCACAUGCACAAGUCCGUUCUGUUCUAAUAUCAGGACACAUCUUCUUAAACAGUUCCUUAACUGAAGCUUUCUGUAUAGCCAUAUUAGAGGCUGCUAGUUGUGGAUUGUUAACAGUUAGCACACGUGUUGGAGGAGUUCCCGAGGUUUUACCAGAUGACAUGAUCAUUUUGGCAGAACCUGAUCCUGGUGAUAUGGUGCUUGCAAUUGAAAGGGCAAUAUCAAUGCUGCCAAAAGUUGAUCCACAAGUCAUGCACAACCGGAUGAGGGAACUCUAUAACUGGCAUGAUGUUGCCAAAAGGACUGAAAUUGUAUAUGAUCGUGCUUUGAAGUGCCCCAAUCAAAAUCUACUUGAACGGCUCUCACGAUACCUUUAUUGCGGAGUGUGGGCAGGAAAGCUGUUUUUCCUGGUUAUGAUAGUUGAUUUUUUGUUUUGGCGGCUAUUGGAACUAUGGCAGCCUGCAGAGGACAUUGAGGAGAUUCCAGAUUUAACUCUUCCACACAUCUCCAACAAAGAGACAUUGCAAGAAAUCGAAUGAAAUGCGUAUUGUGAUACUGAAUUUUCAUUACUGUCUAGUAUGCAAUGCAGAAUACAAAGAGGAUAUUUUAUUGUACAGUUGGCUUCGUUGCAUCGCUGGACUAGGCAGCUUCUGCACCAGAAAUCAGAGGCAUGAAGCAUGUGGAUUGCCAUUUAGAUUGUAGUGAGCCAAGUUCACCAUUAACACACACAGCCUCUUCUUCUUUCUCUUUGGAUUGUCGCUGCACCGCCGCUCUGUUCCGCCAUCCGCCUUUCCUCUUGGGGUACCAACGCUUUAGAAAAGUGUUGAUAGCUUUGUGGCAUCGGAAAAUGAGACUUGGAGGGAGAGAAUGAGGUAGGUAAUGAUGUUUGGACUUAUGUUUAUUGAGAUUGAAAGCUUCUACCCUAGUUAUUAGGAUUAGUCUUGAAAUUCAUAAAUUACGUGGGAAUUAGGUGCUUGUUUUGAUUUUGGUGCCCCUAAUUGCUAGUUGUAAUGUGAAGGUUCAAGGUUGGUGAGAUGGAAUCAUGAACAGAGCAGAGAGCAUAAAUUUAAAGCUCUUCUUUUCUUUUUAAGUGAUAAUGUAUUGAUUUAAACAUGCAACAAGAAAUUCAGACUUAAAAAGAUGUUCAAAUUUAUAUGGUAUUUGCUGGGUGUCAAAAUUCUCCGAAGCACAGAAUCCCCAUGGGGACUGUCCCGAAUGGGGAGCCAAAGGCGGGGAAUUUUUUCGGUGGGGAUGAGGAUGGGACUAAAAUCCCUCAGGUAGCGUUUGUUUUGAGUUACUGGGACAG